rnacentral:rRNA from 1 species
GAUGAACGCUGGCGGCGUGCCUAAUACAUGCAAGUCGAACGCUGAAGGAAGGAGCUUGCUCUUUCCGGAUGAGUUGCGAACGGGUGAGUAACGCGUAGGUAACCUGCCUGGUAGCGGGGGAUAACUAUUGGAAACGAUAGCUAAUACCGCAUAACAGUAGAUAUUGCAUGAUAUCUGCUUGAAAGGGGCAAUUGCUCCACUACCAGAUGGACCUGCGUUGUAUUAGCUAGUUGGUGAGGUAACGGCUCACCAAGGCGACGAUACAUAGCCGACCUGAGAGGGUGAUCGGCCACACUGGGACUGAGACACGGCCCAGACUCCUACGGGAGGCAGCAGUAGGGAAUCUUCGGCAAUGGACGGAAGUCUGACCGAGCAACGCCGCGUGAGUGAAGAAGGUUGUCGGAUCGUAAAGCUCGGUUGUAAGAGAAGAACGAGUGUGAGAGUGGAAAGUUCACACUGUGACGGUAGCUUACCAGAAAGGGACGGCUAACUACGUG